rnacentral:rRNA from 1 species
CAUGUAGGCGGACCUGCAAGCUUGGAGUGAAAUCCACGGGCUCAACCCGUGAACUGCUCCGGGAACUGCAGGACUCGAAUCGCUGAGGGGGAGCCGGAAUUCCAGGUGUAGGGGUGAAAUCUGUAGAUAUCUGGAAGAACACCAAUGGCGAAGGCAGGCUUCUAGCAGACGAUUGACGCUGAGGUGCGAAGGUGCGGGGAGCAAACA